UUUACCCUUUUGUUUUGCUUUCUGGAGAUAGGAAGGGAGUUGGGGGGAGAUCCUUGAAACACUGCCAGAUACAGUAUUCCCAAGCGUGUGCGAACGGAGAUGUGAGUCCUGCAAUCUUUUUGUUGUUGCUGUUGUUGUUGCUGUUGUUGUUUUUGUUUGUUUUUAUUGGAAGAAAGGAAAGAGGAAAACUAAGAGACCUUUAAGAUGAUGGAACUGGGUGUGGAGAAGAAUCCAGGCAUGUGUUCAGUAAGCUCUACUGACCAAGCAGUAGAUUGGCACAAGAGCCACUCAGGCCAACGGGGGAUUGCAAGAGCUGUGGCACUGAGACUUUGGGAUUUCAUGC
rnacentral:lncRNA from 1 species